AUUGAACGCUGGCGGCAGGCCUAACACAUGCAAGUCGAACGAGCGGCGGACGGGUGAGUAAUGUAUCGGGACCUGCCCAAUAGAGGGGGAUAACUACUGGAAACCGUGGCUAAUACCGCAUACUAUCGGAUCAGCCCAUAUGGGAUUAGCUAGUAGGUGGGGUAAAGGCUCACCUAGGCGACGAUCCUUAGCUGGUCUGAGAGGAUGAGCAGCCACACUGGGACUGAGAAACGGCCCAGACGCCUACGGGAGGCAGCAGUGGGGAAUUGUGCACAAUGGGCGCAAGCCUGAUGCAGCCAUGCCGCGUGUAUGAAGAAGGCCUUCGGAUUGUAAAGCACUUUAAGCGGGGAGGCGUUACCCGCAGAAGAAGCACCGGCUAACUCCGUGCCAGCAGCCGCGGUAAUAC
rnacentral:rRNA from 1 species